rnacentral:lncRNA from 1 species
UUUGGUUUUGAGCCUGGCUUUGAUGUGGGGCACUGGAAACCAUGAGAGUGCCAAGAAAACGUUGACUGCCUUGGAUGACAGCAAAUCUCACACAUCCUGACCAGGGAGGUGCCUCCCUCCCAGCAGCUGCAGGCUUUAGGAAAGAGAUUGUCCAGCAUUUCCAUUUGAGCCCUACUUAAAGCUGCAGAUCUAUCAGUGUGGUGUACAAACAUGACAGCUAAGCAAAGCCACAGGCCACCAACUGCUGAUGGUCCAAGACCUCCAUAUGAGGACAAACAUUCCCAGGCUCCACUGGCAAAAGCAAUGUAUUCAGAGCCAAGACACCAGGCUUGUCCCUGACCUGUCCCUGGAAAUCACCUGAAUCAUGUCAGUGUUUUCGUCUCUGUCUUUUCAUCUGAACAUGGAAAUAAUGUGUCCACAUAGGAAUGUCAUGAAUCUGAAGUCUAUAUCCCUUGCCAUCUAGAAAAACUAUCUUGUGUAUCAUGAAGCUUUAAUACCUCCUUUUUAUUGAUUUUAUCCUGACCAUGCCCUGUAUUUCUUAAUUUGCCUUUUUUUUUUUUUUUGCUUAUUUAUUUCUCUAGUUGCAUAUCUUUUGAAGCAAGAGAGUAAAUUAUCUUUAUCCUGCAU